rnacentral:rRNA from 1 species
AUUGAACGCUGGCGGCAGGCCUAACACAUGCAAGUCGAACGAGUGGCGGACGGGUGAGUAAUGUCUGGGAAACUGCCUGAUGGAGGGGGAUAACUACUGGAAACGGUAGCUAAUACCGCAUACCAUCGGAUGUGCCCAGAUGGGAUUAGCUAGUGGGGGGGGUAACGGCUCACCUAGGCGACGACCCCUACCUGGUCUGAGAGGAUGACCAGCCACACUGGAACGUAGACACGGUCCUGACUACUACGGGAGGCAGCAGUGGGGAAUAUUGCACAAUGGGCGCAAGUCUGAUGCAGCCAUGCCGCGAGUAUGAAGAAGGCCUGCGGGUUGUAAAGUACUUGUAGCGGGGAGGCGUUACCCGCAGAAGAAGCACCGGCUAACUCCGUGCCAGCAGCCGCGGUAAUUC